rnacentral:rRNA from 1 species
AGAGUUUGAUCCUGGCUCAGGAUGAACGCUAGCGGCAGGCUUAACACAUGCAAGUCGAGGGGCAGCGCGAUGUAGCAAUACAUUGGCGGCGACCGGCGCACGGGUGAGUAACACGUAUGGAACCUGCCCUUUACUGGGAAAUAACCCGGAGAAAUCCGGACUAAUGUCCCAUAAUGAGCGAGAUGGCAUCAUCUUGCUUUGAAAGCUCCGGCGGUAAAGGAUGGCCAUGCGCCCGAUUAGCUUGUUGGUGAGGUAAUGGCUCACCAAGGCUACGAUCGGUAGGGGGCCUGAGAGGGCUAUCCCCCACACUGGUACUGAGACACGGACCAGACUCCUACGGGAGGCAGCAGUGAGGAAUAUUGCGCAAUGGAGGCAACUCUGACGCAGCCAUGCCGCGUGCAGGAAGAAGGCGCUACGCGUUGUAAACUGCUUUUAUCCGGGAAGAAACCCCUCCACGUGUGGAGGGUUGACGGUACCGGAGGAAUAAGCACCGGCUAACUUCGUGCCAGCAGCCGCGGUAAUACGAAGGGUGCAAGCGUUAUCCGGAUUCAUUGGGUUUAAAGGGUGCGUAGGCGGAACAAUAAGUCAGCGGUGAAAGCCCGUAGCUUAACUACGGAAUUGCCGUUGAUACUGUUGUUCUUGAGUACGCUUGACGUGGGCGGAAUGUGCCGUGUAGCGGUGAAAUGCUUAGAUAUGGCACAGAACACCG